UUUCGUUUCUUCUUUCUCUUUUUCUUUCCCUUUUCCAAUUUCUUUCUUUUUCAAGAAAGAAGAGAGGUGAUUAAGAAUAUGAGAAAAUAUUUUUUCUUUUUCUUUUUCAAUGG
rnacentral:ribozyme from 13 species